GGGAGCCAUGGAUUUGUUCAAGGCUUUCCUCAUGGCAUCGAUCAUCAAAAAAGGUAGGUUCAGGAGAGUCUCAAAAACUAUAUGGUGCAUCAGACAAAUAUCUCUACCAGUCAUCAAGUCAUAUCUUCUCCCUCUGGGAAAGAAAAUCUUGGACACCAUGUGGUGGAGUAACCUCAUCUCCACACUAAGAUUUUUGAACUCAAUCUUCAGGAAACCUUCUACAUCAUCUCUCUCAAGAAUA
rnacentral:lncRNA from 1 species